UGAGCAAUCUGCCCUUCUCUUCGGAAUAAGCGUUGGAAACGACGUCUAAUGCCGAAUACGACCUCCUUUCGCAUGAUCGGAGGUGGAAAGCUCCGGCGGAGAAGGAUGAGCUCGCGGCCUAUCAGCUAGUUGGUGUGGGUAAUGGCCCACAAGGCGACGACGGGUAGCCGCCUGAGAGGGUGACCGGCCACACUGGGACUGAGACACGGCCCAGACUCCUACGGGAGGNAGCG
rnacentral:rRNA from 1 species